rnacentral:rRNA from 1 species
AACGCGAAGAACCUUACCUGGGCUCGAACGACUGGUGGUACCUUGUUUGAAAGGACGAGGGACCCGCAAGGGAGCCAGCCGAGGUGCUGCAUGGUUGUCGUCAGCUCGUGUCGUGAGAUGUUGGGUUAAGUCCCGCAACGAGCGCAACCCCUGUCCCGUGUUGCUACCCGCAAGGGAGGACUCUCGGGAGACUGCCGCGGAUAACGUGGAGGAAGGUGGGGAUGACGUCAAAUCAUCAUGGCCCUUAUGUCCAGGGCAACACACGUGCUACAAUGGCGUUAACAGUGGGACGCAAGACCGCAAGGUGGAGCAAAUCCCCAAAUAACGCCUCAGUUCAGAUUGUGGGCUGCAAUUCGCCCACAUGAAGGUGGAAUCGCUAGUAAUCGCAGAUCAGCAGGCUGCGGUGAAUACGUUCCCGGGCCUUGUACACACCGCUACAGU